UGGCGUGGUAGCUCAGUCGGUUAGAGCGCAGCACUCAUAAUGCUGAGGUCGGGAGUUCGAAUCUCCCCACGCUAC
rnacentral:tRNA from 1 species